CAAAAGCAACAAAACACACAGCAAGGGGGGAGGAGAAGAAACCUAACCCUCACCUUUCCUUCUCACCAUCAUAACUCCUCCGUCCGGGCUCCGAUUGCCGCACCGUUCGCGGCCACGCGCUCAGUGCGUCGAGCUCUAUCUUUCUAUCUGAACAAUUUCACUAGUUCAAGUUAGCUUCCGGAACUUGUGGGCUCAAGCUAUUGAGCAUAUGGGUAUGGUGUAGGUUAAGUAGGUGUUUAUGCAUUGGAAUUGAUUUGGGAUUACUUGGAGGUUUGUUGGUGACCAAGGCUUACUUUGGGGCUGUUUGAUUGAGCUUGGAGGGGCUGUAAUUUUGUGUUGAGAGGCUGCCUUGGGUGAAUUAAGUGAUCGGCCAAGGUAUGGUUUAAGUUUCGCACGUUUAAUAUUUACGGUGUUUUGAAAACUUAGGUUAGAGGAACCAUAGGAUAAGUUGAAUUGUUGGUUGUAUUUAAUUAUUAGCCUUGUAAUAUUGUUGGAAUAGAUUUAUUGGUGGAUAUAUAUUGGAAUUAUGAGGUGUGGAAGUUAUUAAUGGUGUGCUCUUAUAUUUAUUUAUGAUGGAUUAGGAUUGGUGUUUGUUAAUAAGGAUGUAGAGUUGUGUUGUGGUGGUAUUGCAUAUGCUGUAACUAAUUAUGUAAUAAUCAGAAUUUCAUGAGACCAAGUUUGGGAUAAACUCGGGAAUAUAAGAAACUAAACUGGAAAAUUUGAGACCUUUUUAUUAAAUAUACAAUUUAUGACAAAUUUUUAAAGUUAGGUUGUUAAAUCUGUCCUGCAGCAGAAAAGGUCAAACAGGGCAGCAACUUGUUUGUCUUGCUGCGACUUCUACGAGUUGAGUUUU